rnacentral:rRNA from 1 species
CUAGGAUGAACGCUAGCGACAGGCCUAACACAUGCAAGUCGAGGGGCAGCACAAGGAGCAAUCUGAGGUGGCGACCGGCGCACGGGUGAGUAACACGUAUGCAACCUGCCUGUAAGCGGGGAAUAACCCGUUGAAAGACGGACUAAUACCGCAUAAUACUAAAUUACUGCAUGGUAAUUUAUUUAAACAUUUAUGGCUUACAGAUGGGCAUGCGCAUGAUUAGCUAGUUGGAGAGGUAACGGCUCCCCAAGGCAACGAUCAUUAGGGGUUCUGAGAGGAAGGUCCCCCCACACUGGUACUGGGACACGGACCAGACUCCUACGGGAGGCAGCAGUGAGGAAUAUUGGUCAAUGGACGAGAGUCUGAACCAGCCAAGUCGCGUGCAGGAAGAAUGUUCCCUAUGGAUUGUAAACUGCUUUUGCAGGGGAAUAAAGUGCAUCACGUGUGAUGUUUUGUAUGUACUCUGCGAAUAAGGAUCGGCUAACUCCGUGCCAGCCGCCGC